rnacentral:rRNA from 1 species
UACGUAGGGGGCAAGCGUUGUCCGGAAUCAUUGGGCGUAAAGAGCGCGUAGGCGGUCCGGUAAGUCGGUUGUGAAAACUGGGGGCUCAACCCUCAGAGGCCGACCGAUACUGCUGGGCUAGAGUCCGGAAGAGGCGAGUGGAAUUCCUGGUGUAGCAGUGAAAUGCGCAGAUAUCAGGAGGAACACCAAUGGCGAAGGCAGCUCGCUGGGACGGUACUGACGCUGAGACGCGAAAGCGUGGGGAGCGAACAGG